GAAAGCCUGUCUCAGUUCGGAUUGGAGUCUGCAACCCGACUCCAUGAAGCUGGAUUCGCUAGUAAUCGCGCAUCAGCCACGGCGCGGUGAAUACGUUCCCGGGCCUUGUACACACCGCCCGUCAAGCCAUGGAAGCCGGGGGUGCCUGAAGUGCGCUGCCGCAAGGAGCGCCCUAGGAUAAAACCGGUGACUGGGGCUAAGUCGUAACAAGGUAAC
rnacentral:rRNA from 1 species